CACGGGUGCGUAACGCGUACACAACAUACCCUUUACUGGGGGAUAGCGGUGGGAAACUGCCAGUAAUACCCCAUGUCCUCGCGGGGCGGCAUUGUUUUGCGAGGAAAGUUACGGCGGUAAAGGAUUGGUGUGCGUCCGAUUAGCUUGUUGGCGGGGUAACGGCCCACCAAGGCGACGAUCGGUAGGGGGUGUGAGAGCAUGGCCCCCCACACGGGUACUGAGACACGGACCCGACUCCUACGGGAGGCAGCAGUAAGGAAUAUUGGACAAUGGUCGGAAGACUGAUCCAGCCAUGCCGCGUGAAGGAAGAAGGCGCUCAGCGUUGUAAACUUCUUUUGAACGGGAAUAAUAACCUCCACGAGUUGGGGGCUUGAAGGUACCGUCAGAAUAAGCACCGGCUAACUCCGUGCCAGCAGCCGCGGUAAUACGGAGGGUGCGAGCGUUAUCCGGAAUCACUGGGUUUAAAGGGUGCGUAGGCUGCCCGAUAAGUCAGUUGUGAAAUAUCCUCGCUCAACGAGGGGACUGCGAUUGAUACUGUCGGGCUUGAAUAGGGUUGAGGCAGGCGGAAUGUGGCAUGUAGCGGUGAAAUGCAUAGAUAUGCCAUAGAACACCGAUUGCGAAGGCAGCCUGCUGGGCCUUUAUUGACGCUGAGGCACGAAAGCGUGGGGAGCAAACAGGAUUAGAUACCCUGGUAGUCCACGCCCUAAACGAUGUUUACUUGCUGUUCGGGCAUAUGCUUGAGUGGCGAAGCGAAAGCGAUAAGUAAACCACCUGGGGAGUACGCCGGCAACGGUGAAACUCAAGGAAUUGACGGGGGUCCGCACAAGCGGUG
rnacentral:rRNA from 1 species